rnacentral:rRNA from 1 species
GUUAAAGAAGAACACGUAUGAGAGUAACUGUUCAUACGUUGACGGUAUUAACAGAAAGUCGCGGCUAACUACGUGCCAGCAGCCGCGGUAAUACGUAGGUGGCAAGCGUUAUCCGGAUUUAUUGGGCGUAAAGAGAGUGCAGGCGGUUUUCUAAGUCUGAUGUGAAAGCCUUCGGCUUAACCGGAGAAGUGCAUCGGAAACUGGAUAACUUGAGUGCAGAAGAGGGUAGUGGAACUCCAUGUGUAGCGGUGGAAUGCGUAGAUAUAUGGAAGAACACCAGUGGCGAAGGCGGCUACCUGGUCUGCAACUGACGCUGAGACUCGAAAGCAUGGGUAGCGAACAGGAUUAGAUACCCUGGUAG